rnacentral:rRNA from 1 species
GACGAACGCUGGCGGCGUGCCUAAUACAUGCAAGUAGAACGCACAGUUUAUACCGUAGCUUGCUACACCAUAGACUGUGAGUUGCGAACGGGUGAGUAACGCGUAGGUAACCUGCCUGGUAGCGGGGGAUAACUAUUGGAAACGAUAGCUAAUACCGCAUAAUAUUAAUUAUUGCAUGAUAAUUAAUUGAAAGGUGCAAUUGCACCACUACCAGAUGGACCUGCGUUGUAUUAGCUAGUAGGUGAGGUAACGGCUCACCUAGGCGACGAUACAUAGCCGACCUGAGAGGGUGAUCGGCCACACUGGGACUGAGACACGGCCCAGACUCCUACGGGAGGCAGCAGUAGGGAAUCUUCGGCAAUGGACGAAAGUCUGACCGAGCAACGCCGCGUGAGUGAAGAAGGUUUUCGGAUCGUAAAGCUCUGUUGUAAGAGAAGAACGGGUGUGAGAGUGGAAAGUUCACACUGUGACGGUAUCUUACCAGAAAGGGACGGCUAACUACGAG